rnacentral:sRNA from 1 species
AGCCAUGCAGAUUUUUAGUAAUACGAGCCUGGGGAAGCUCGCUUUCACAGACUCGUAUUACUAAAAAUCUAUACGGCGCUCUGCCGUAUAGCGAGAUGUAGCGCAGCGAAAUCGAGCUGCAUGGCU